UACGUAGGGUGCGAGCGUUAAUCGGAAUUACUGGGCGUAAAGCGUGCGCAGGCGGUUCGUUAAGUUCGUUGUGAAAGCCCCGGGCUCAACCUGGGAAUGGCAAUGGAAACUGGCGAGCUUGAGUGUGGCAGGGGAGACUGGAAUUCCUGGUGUAGCGGUGAAAUGCGCAGAUAUCAGGAGGAACACCGGUGGCGAAGGCGGGUCUCUGGGCCGAUACUGACGCUGAGGAGCGAAAGCGUGGGGAGCAAACAGG
rnacentral:rRNA from 1 species